rnacentral:rRNA from 1 species
GACGAACGCUGGCGGCGUGCCUAAUACAUGCAAGUCGAACGCAGUGGGGACGGGUGAGUAACAAGUGGGUAACCUCCCAUCAGAGGGGAUAACACGUGGAAACAGGUGCUAAACCGAUACAGAUGGAUGGACCCGGAGGUCAUGAGACAGUUGGUGAGGUAAAGGCUCACCAAGGCUACGAUGCAUAGCCGAUCUGUGAGGGGGAUCGGCCACACUUGGACUGUGACACGGUCCAGACUCCUACGGCAGGCAGCAGUAGGGAAUCUUCGACAAUGGACGAAAGUCUGAUCUAGCGAUGCCGCGUGAGUGAAGAAGGUUUUCGGAUCGUAAAGCUCUGUUGUUAGAGAGGCGUUAUCUGAACAGAAAGCCCCGGCUAACUACGUGCCAGCAGCCGCGGUAAUUC